rnacentral:lncRNA from 1 species
CUUCUGAUCGCCUGCAAGUGCCUCCUGUUGGUCCACCCUACUGGAAGUCUGAGCUGGGCAGAGAAGCACCAAAAGUGGAGCUGGAGGAGCAAACAGAAUAUCCAGCACACUGCAGAAAGCUGAGAUUGGUAUUCUUCUACCGCAUGGCUACUCCUGCCACCAAGGGGAACACAGAGUAAAGUGACAACACUAAUUCAGGCUCCAUCAUGGUGACCAGGGAUUAGAAAAUAACCGCAAAG